rnacentral:rRNA from 1 species
CCCUUAGAUGUUCUGGGCCGCACGCGCGCUACACUGAUGCAUUCAACGAGCCUAUCCUUGACCGACAGGUCCGGGUAAUCUUUGAAUCUGCAUCGUGACGGGGAUAGAUUAUUGCAAUUAUUAAUCUUCAACGAGGAAUGCCUAGUAGGCGCAAGUCAUCAGCUUGCGUCGAUUACGUCCCUGCCCUUUGUACACACCGCCCGUCGCUCCUACCGAUUGGGUGUGCUGGUGAAAUGUUCGGAUCGGCCGUUUGUCGCGGUUUCCGCGGCUCGUGGCUGAGAAGUUCAUUAAACCCUCCCACCCAGAGGAAGGAGAAGUCGUAACA